rnacentral:rRNA from 1 species
CCUACGGGAGGCAGCAGUGGGGGAUAUUGCACAAUGGGGGAAACCCUGAUGCAGCGACGCCGCGUGGGCGAAGAAGUAUUUCGGGAUGUAAAGCCCUAUCAGCAGGGAAGAAGAAAUGACGGUACCUGAGUAAGAAGCACCGGCGAAAUACGUGCCAGCAGCCGCGGUCAUACGUAUGGUGCAAGCGUUAUCCGGAUGGACUGGGUGUACAGGGAGCGUAGGCGGCCCGGCAAGCCUGAGGUGAAAGCCCGCGGCCCAACCGCGGGACUGCAGUGGGAACUACCGGGCUGGAGUGCCGGAGGGGGAAGCGGAAUUCGGGGGGGAGCAGGGAAAUGGGUAGAGAUUAGGAGGAACACGAGUGGCGAAGGCGGCUGACUGGACGGUAACUGAGGCUGAGGCACGAAGGCGAGGGGAGCGAAAGGGAUUAGAUACCCCUGUAGUC